UACGGAGGGUGCGAGCGUUGUCCGGAAUCACUGGGCGUAAAGGGCGCGUAGGUGGCCACUAUAAGGCCGCGGUGAAAGUUCGGGGCUCAACCCUGAAUCGGCCGCGGCGACUGUAGGGCUUGGGCACUGUAGAGGCAGAUGGAAUUCCAGGUGUAGCGGUGAAAUGCGUAGAUAUCUGGAGGAACACCGGUGGCGAAGGCGCAUCCUGGACCGGCAUUGACGCUGAGGAGCGAAAGCCAGGGGAGCAAACGGG
rnacentral:rRNA from 1 species